rnacentral:rRNA from 1 species
GUGGGGAAUAUUGGACAAUGGGGGGAACCCUGAUCCAGCCAUGUCGCGUGUGUGAAGAAGGCCUUUUGGUUGUAAAGCACUUUAAGCGAGGAGGAGGCUACCGAGAUUAAUACUCUUGGAUAGUGGACGUUACUCGCAGAAUAAGCACCGGCUAACUCUGUGCCAGCAGCCGCGGUAAUACAGAGGGUGCAAGCGUUAAUCGGAUUUACUGGGCGUAAAGCGCGCGUAGGUGGCCAAUUAAGUCAAAUGUGAAAUCCCCGAGCUUAACUUGGGAAUUGCAUUCGAUACUGGUCAGCUAGAGUAUGGGAGAGGAUGGUAGAAUUCCAGGUGUAGCGGUGAAAUGCGUAGAGAUCUGGAGGAAUACCGAUGGCGAAGGCAGCCAUCUGGCCUAAUACUGACGCUGAGGUACGAAAGCAUGGGGAGCAAACAGGAUUAGAAACCCUGGUAGUCC